rnacentral:rRNA from 1 species
UACGGAGGGGCAAGCGUUAUUCGGAAUUAUUGGGCGUAAAGGGCGCGUAGGCGGCUGUACAAGUCAAAGGUGAAAUCCCUCGGCUCAACUGAGGAACUGCCUUUGAAACUGUACGGCUUGAGGCCGGGAGGGGUAGCGGAAUUCCCAGUGUAGCGGUGAAAUGCGUAGAUAUUGGGAGGAACACCAGUGGCGAAGGCAGCUACCUGGACCGGUUCUGACGCUGAUGCGCGAAAGCGUGGUAGCAACAGG